GACUACCGGGGUAUCUAAUCCUGUUUGCUCCCCACGCUGUCGUGCCUCAGCGUCAGUGUGGCCCCAGACCGCUGCCUUCGCCAUCGGUGUUCCUCCGGAUCUCUACGCAUUUCACCGCUACACCCGGAAUUCCACGAUCCUCUAGCCCACUCGAGUUGCGCCGUCUCAACCGCCGUUCCCAGGUUAAGCCCGGGGCUUUCACGGCUGACUGACGCUACCGCCUACGCACGCUUUACGCCCAGUAAUUCCGAUUAACGCUCGCACCCUCCGUAUUACCGCGGCUGCUGGCACGGAGUUAGCCGGUGCUUAUUCUGCGGGUAACGUCAGCGCCGGGUGGUAUUGGCACCCGACCGUUCCUCCCCGCCUAAAGGGCUUUACAACCCGCAGGCCGUCUUCACCCACGCGGCAUUGCUGGAUCAGGCUUGCGCCCAUUGUCCAAUAUUCCCCACUGCAGCCGCCCGUAGG
rnacentral:rRNA from 1 species